GCUGACUACGGGGCGGGUGCGGCGGUGGGACGUGGGGUGCGUGCGUUGGUCGGAGUUAUUGGGCGUAAAGAGUUCGUGGGUGGUUUGUUGCGUCGGGAGUGAAAACACACAGCGUAACUGUGUGCUUGCUUUCGAUACGGGCAGACUUGAGGGAUGUAGGGGAGAACGGAAUUCCUGGUGGAGCGGUGGAAUGCGCAGAUAUCAGGAGGAACACCGGUGGCGAAGGCGGUUCUCUGGACAUUUCCUGACGCUGAGGAGCGAAAGCGUGGGGAGCAAACAGGAUUAGAUACCCUAGUAGUC
rnacentral:rRNA from 1 species